AGGCGGAGACUCGGGCAAUUGCCAGCCUUCCCAGACGGCAUUGCACUUGUCUCGGUCUGA
ensembl:miRNA gmo-mir-25 gmo-mir-25